rnacentral:rRNA from 1 species
GUAGGGAAUAUUGGGCAAUGGAUGCAAGUCUGACCCAGCCAUGCCGCGUGGAGGAAGAAGGUCCUCUGGAUUGUAAACUCCUUUUUUGGGGGAAGAAUAGUUCUCUUGCGAGGGAAUGUGACGGUACCCUAAGAAUAAGCCACGGCUAACUACGUGCCAGCAGCCGCGGUAAUACGUAGGUGGCAAGCGUUGUCCGGAUGUAUUGGGUUUAAAGGGUGCGUAGGUGGUUUGAUAAGUCAGUGGUGAAAGCUGGUUGCUCAACAAUCAAGUUGCCAUUGAUACUGUCGGACUUGAGAGAAGUGGAGGUUCAUAGAAUGGAUGGUGUAGCGGUGAAAUGCAUAGAUAUCAUCCAGAACGUCGAUUGCGAAGGCAGUGGGCUGUACUUUAUCUGACACUGAGGCACGAAAGUGUGGGGAUCAAACAGGAUUAGAAACCCCUGUAGUCC